UUUCUAUUCCCGACACUCAAAUUCAUAGGGGGUGAAUGAUAAUAGAACAUAAUCAAAAUAACAUACAAACACAAUUCAAGAACAUUUAACUAUCUACUGUAGCUGUUCUUUGUAAAAUACAUAAAGGUAAACAGAAACAUCUUUAUAUAAAUUAUACUUAACAAUCUGUAUACACUAUAAAACCAUUGUUAAAAUUCACACUGAGAUGCUAGUGCAAGCAGUGGUGUACAAAAGUGCAAACAAGGUUAGUGAUGAAAAACUUAUCACUGACUUACCACUUCAACAAACUCUGCAUUCAGUCAAAUACUAAAGGCCUCACCAUGGAAAACACUUUGAUCACUUUUAAGGAACAUGACUGCAUUCACCCUGAGUGCUCUCGCCUCAGCAUGGCAACUGACUGCAAAUUCAGUUUAGGAGCAACACCAGGGAAUAGAGAAACCCAUGUGAAGUUGGCCGUUCUGAUGUGAAUCUUCACACUUGAUAACGAUCACAAUUCCAAAGGCAACUUAUAUGUCAAAAGCUGUAGGAUUAUCACCCCCCUGUACCCCAAAAUAUUUAAAACUGAAAUUAAAUUGAAUCCUCCCUUCCCCAUUAAGAUGUAUGCUGAAGAAUUCAUCCACUCCAGUGCAGCUUUUCUAAAAUAAUUCUGUGUGAAAUCACUCAAAAUUCUGCACUAAAAUCCAUUUGGUUGGGGACACUCCUGAAACAAAGUUUACUUUGGAUAAAUUUGCUUACUCGAAUUACUUUUGAUUCUAUUUAAAAAUGUGGUCAAAGCCCUGAACAGUAUAUCAGUGGUAUUAAAAUGCACUAGUUAUUUAAUGUUCUAAAUUAUGAGAACAAAUUAGUUCGUUCAGAACUGCAUCUUCAAUAGAUUCUGUAGAUUCCCUUCAUACUUUUUUAUCGAGGUAUGGUGUGGGGGUGUGUGAGGGAGGAUGGUUCCAGGAUUCAGGAGUGGAAACAUGGUUUUAACAAAAUCCCAAUCACUUUAUACAGAGGCACAGUCCCAUAUUCUAAGACCUGUUAGUUCUUUCUUUUUUUGUUAAAAAGCACUAAUUUGCAUUUCAAAAGAACAGGGAUGGAAGCAUCACCAUGUAGUUUUGAGAAUUCAGACCUUAAAUGAAGAUAGACCUUUCUUCAAACACUUACAUUUACAGCCAAAAAAUUAGUUUAUAGAAAACAUUUAAUUCCUUAUUAAUUUUGUAUUAAGGAAUUUAUAUUUACUGAUCUCUAUUUUUUCAUGCUUUCUUGGGAGAUUUUUUGAAGCUUCAUCAACUUUUACCUAGGUGUAAAUGAUCCAAACAGUAUAUUCUAAAUAAAAUGAGUACAAGACACCUUGAAAGAGUUCACUUUACAUUAGCUAUUCUCACUGUACUCCGGUCAAAAUAUAUUUGGCAAUGAAGCCUUGCAUAUUUUCAUCAUGUGACUAACGACUGAAAUGCCACAGUGAGUCACAACCAAUACAGUUUCAGAACACAUAAACCUUUCUCCUGAAACUCUCAAAUCAUGCCAACUAGAAUUCUACGUCUUUUAAUGAUGGAACUUGUGAAAAUGAUGGGUUUUGAAUGUGGCUGAUAAAAUCAUUUUGCGGAAGGCAACAAACACUAUUAUCACAGCUAUUACCCUAUUUUAAUGAUUUACAAGUAGAUGGUGUUCUGGAAAACACUAUAAAGUGUGAGCCCGCUGGAAACUAACAAACACCAUUGUAAACAACAUUAAAUUUGUACAUAUACAUAGGCACACAAAACUAAAAUUGACAUCUAUGUAGGCAAUAUCUGAAUUCAUACAUCUUUGGCACUCAAACAUACUGGGUCAACCAAGCCAAUGGUGAAGAGUAUUUUUUCAUAUACUUUACAAAAUGUCUUGCCCCAAUUUUUAAAAAUG
rnacentral:lncRNA from 1 species